rnacentral:rRNA from 1 species
GUAGGUGGCAAGCGUUGUCCGGAUUUAUUGGGCGUAAAGCGAGCGCAGGCGGAAAAAUAAGUCUGAUGUGAAAGCCCUCGGCUUAACCGAGGAACUGCAUCGGAAACUGUUUUUCUUGAGUGCAGAAGAGGAGAGUGGAACUCCAUGUGUAGCGGUGGAAUGCGUAGAUAUAUGGAAGAACACCAGUGGCGAAGGCGGCUCUCUGGUCUGCAACUGACGCUGUGGCUCGAAAGCAUGGGUAGCGAACAGGAUUAGAUACCCUGGUAGUCCAUGCCGUAAACGAUGAGUGCUAAGUGUUGGGAGGUUUCCGCCUCUCAGUGCUGCAGCUAACGCAUUAAGCACUCCGCCUGGGGAGUACGACCGCAAGGUUG